rnacentral:rRNA from 1 species
AUUGAACGCUGGCGGCAGGCCUAACACAUGCAAGUCGAGCGGAUGAAGGGAGCUUGCUCCUGGAUUCAGCGGCGGACGGGUGAGUAAUGCAUAGGAAUCUGCCUGGUCGUGGGGGAUAACGUCCGGAAACGGGCGCUAAUACCGCAUACGUCCUGAGGGAGAAAGUGGGGGAUCUUCGGACCUCACGCUAUCAGAUGAGCCUAGGUCGGAUUAGCUAGUUGGUGGGGUAAAGGCCUACCAAGGCGACGAUCCGUAACUGGUCUGAGAGGAUGAUCAGUCACACUGGAACUGAGACACGGUCCAGACUCCUACGGGAGGCAGCAGUGGGGAAUAUUGGACAAUGGGCGAAAGCCUGAUCCAGCCACGCCGCGUGUGUGAAGAAGGUCUUCGGAUUGUAAAGCACUUUAAGUUGGGAGGAAGGGCAGUAAGUUAAUACCUUGCUGUUUUGACGUUACCAACAGAAUAAGCACCGGCUAACUUCGUG